rnacentral:rRNA from 1 species
CAGUCGAGCGAGCGGAACCACAGAUUUACUUCGGUAAUGACGUUGGGAAAGCGAGCGGCGGAUGGGUGAGUAACACGUGGGGAACCUGCCCCUAAGUCUGGGAUACCAUUUGGAAACAGGUGCUAAUACCGGAUAAUAAAGCAGAUCGCAUGAUCAGCUUUUGAAAGGCGGCGUAAGCUGUCGCUAAGGGAUGGCCCCGCGGUGCAUUAGCUAGUUGGUAAGGUAACGGCUUACCAAGGCGACGAUGCAUAGCCGAGUUGAGAGACUGAUCGGCCACAUUGGGACUGAGACACGGCCCAAACUCCUACGGGAGGCAGCAGUAGGGAAUCUUCCACAAUGGACGCAAGUCUGAUGGAGCAACGCCGCGUGAGUGAAGAAGGUUUUCGGAUCGUAAAGCUCUGUUGUUGGUGAAGAAGGAUAGAGGUAGUAACUGGCCUUUAUUUGACGGUAAUCAACCAGAAAGUCACGGCUAACUACGUGCCAGCAGCCGCGGUAAUACGUAGGUGGCAAGCGUUGUCCGGAUUUAUUGGGCGUAAAGCGAGCGCAGGCGGAAAAAUAAGUCUAAUGUGAAAGCCCUCGGCUUAACCGAGGAACUGCAUCGGAAACUGUUUUUCUUGAGUGCAGAAGAGGAGAGUGGAACUCCAUGUGUAGCGGUGGAAUGCGUAGAUAUAUGGAAGAACACCAGUGGCGAAGGCGGCUCUCUGGUCUGCAACUGACGCUGAGGCUCGAAAGCAUGGGUAGCGAACAGGAUUAGAUACCCUGGUAGUCCAUGCCGUACACGAUGAGUGCUAAGUGUUGGGAGGUUUCCGCCUCUCAGUGCUGC